UACCCGCAGCACAAGUGGUGGUCAUUAUUAUUGGGCCUAAAGCGUCCGUAGCUGGCUUGUUAGAUGCCUGGGUAAAUCGAUGAGCUCAACGCAUCGAACUCCGGGUAGACCGGCAAGCUUGGGACCGGGAGAGGCGUGAGCUACUCGAGGGGUAGGGGUAAAAUCCUGUAAUCCUUCGGGGAGGACCAGUGGCGAAGGCGUCACGCUAGAACGGCUCCGACAGUGAGGGACGAAGCCCUGGGGCGCAAACCGG
rnacentral:rRNA from 1 species